rnacentral:tRNA from 1 species
GCCUCGGUGGCGUAGUGGUCAAGGCGCUCGCCUGGUAAUCAGGAGGGCGUGGGUUCGAUCCCAGCCGAAGUA